AGAGUUUGAUCAUGGCUCAGGAUGAACGCUGGCGGCGUGGAUAAGGCAUGCAAGUCGAACGGCUAUCGCAAGAUAGCAGUGGCGAACGGGUUAGUAACACACUGGUACAUACCAUUGAGAUGGGGAUAGCUACUCGAAAGAGUAGGUAAUACCCAAUAGUCUGGAAGUCAGCAAUGAUUUCCAGUAAAGUCGCAAGACGCUUAAUGAAUGGCCUAUGUCCUAUCAGCUAGUUGGUGAGGUAAUGGCUCACCAAGGCUAUGACGGGUAGGGGGCGUGAGAGCGUGAUCCCCAACACUGGAACUGAGACACGGUCCAGACUCCUACGGGAGGCAGCAGCCGAGAAUAUUUGUCAAUGGGCGAAAGCCUGAACGAGCGACGCCGCGUGUGGGAUGAAGGUUUUCGGAUUGUAAACCACUUUUUAUGGGGAGAAAUCGCAAGAUGAUAGUACCCGUAGAAUAAGGGGUUCCCAACUCUGUGCCAGCAGGAGCGGUAAUACAGAGACCCCGAGCGUUAUCCGGAAUUAUUGGGCGUAAAGCGUCUGUAGGCGGUUUAAAUAGUGAGAUGUUAAAUGUCAAAGCUCAACUUUGUCACUGCAUUUCAAACGUUUAGACUAGAGCAUAUGAGAGGCUGAUGGAACUUGUGGUGUAGCGGUGAAAUGCGUUGAUAUCACAAGGAAUACCAAAGGCGAAGGCAUUCAGCUAGAAUAUUGCUGACGCUGAGAGACGAAAGCGUGGGGAUCAAAAAGGAUUAGAUACCCUGGUAGUCC
rnacentral:rRNA from 1 species